AUAAUAUUACCUUAAACGUAUCCUUUUUAUACAAACAUGUUUAUUAUCAUAGGACGGAUUUGCGACUGCGUGAGCUGCUAUGAAAAAACAAAAGGGCUUUUUAUUUGAGUGUAAGGGUAUCAAAGACUCUGGUGUUAUCAACCUGCUGCCACAUAUAAAAUGGAAUCAACAGUUCAUGAUUUUUACCUUCACUUGAAUGAAUUCCAUAUCUCCAGGAUGACUAAUUUUGUACAUCUCGUGUUUGCAUUUUGCUUGGGAGCGGUGGCACCUGCUUUGAGCUACCCGGAGACAGCUUUCGCACGACCGGCUCAGCCCUGUCUUGCGCCCUUGCAAUGGGAGGGCAGAUCCGUCGAAUACAACUACGACACUGGGCGAAAUACACGGGCCUCGGUGUCGUAUGAUGCACAGAACCACAGAAUAAGGCUUCUUCAACAGAAUAAAAAACAUACACCAUGCCAGAAAUACUUUGAGUUUAUCUACCUGUACAACAGUGGCCUGCUGUUCCAGAUCGAGCAGAAGACGAAGCAGUGUUCUAAGAUCCCCUUGACCCAGGCCUGGGACCCCUUUGACAUCCCUAUGAACUCCACCUAUGAGGACCAGUACUUUAUCGGUGGACCUGGAGACAUGAUCGAGGUGCAGGAGUGGUCAGAUAGGAAACCAUCCCGCAAAAAUGAGGCGUGGGUGGGUGUCUACACAGUGAAGGACUGCUACCCUGUCCAGGAGACCUACGCCAGGAACAGCAGCAUCACUACCUCUACCCGCUUCUUUGACCUCCAGCUGGGCAUCAGCGACCCGGAAGUCUUCACACCGCCCAGCAGCUGCCAGUCGGCCCGCCCAGAGAGGAUGGGCUCCGAUUGCUGAGGCCUUCACCUUUCCCCUUUGACCCCAUGCUCUUUGACCCCAUGCUCUCAGUUUUCACAUUUCCCCCACUUUACAUUUUUUUAUUGAACCUUUAUUUAACUAGGCAAGUCAGUUCAGAACUAAUUCUUAUUUUACAAUGAUGGCCUACCCCGGCCAAACCCACCUCUAACCCGGAUGCCGCUGGGCCAUUUGUGCACCGACCUAUGGCACUCCCGAUCACGGCCGGUUGUGAUACAGCCCGGGAUUGAACCAGGGUGUGUAGUGAAGCCUCUAGCAGUGAGAUGCAGUGCUUUAGACUGCUGUGCCACUCGGGAGCCAUAAAUGGGGGAGGAGAAGCUGAUCCUAGAUCUGUACUCAGGGGAACGUCACCCCGGAGGACUACAUCAUCUAACGGGAAUGUCCAUUGUCUAAAAUGGCUUCCUCUCCUUGCCUAAUUUUAUUAAUUCAUUUGUCAGGGACCAUGCACAACAAAUGUUGCACCAGAUUUAGCUACAUAUCCAAUUUUGAUUUGUGGUCUCCUUGACUCUUUUCCUUAAUUUACACCCAUCUUGUCUUUUUAGACCAAUGCAAGAAAUGAAGGAGAAGAGCUGAGGAGAAGAAGCCCCUUUGGACUAUUGAAAUACACCCCUGUUCUCUCAGCAUUAAGCUACAUGGUGAUGGUAGAGCCAAUUUAGAUGUAGCAGUUACAGGAGCAGGUCCAACAUGGUCCUGGAAGACCACCAUAUCGGCACCAAAUCAGCACAAUUUCCAUUUCCAUUGACGAAGUAUCUUGACUAAUAACAUGUCUUGAACAUGGUUUAUAAAAGCCAUUGAAAAAGAGUGCUACCAACUUGUGCCAGUUUAGGUGUAGGUCCAACUGUCCCGGCAUCCCGGUUAGAGGAUGUAGAAUGACCAGCAGGAGACAGGGAGACAAGGCACACUUUAUUACCAAACACACACACAUGGCAAACGGGAAGAGGAGACUAUUUGUAGUUUAAGUGUUGUAGUGGUUGUCUACAAGAGAAGAGCAUGUAUUACAUAAUGGCAUUACAGCCUAAUGACUAUGUAAUAGCAAUGAGAAUGACACGUGUACUAUAAUGGUCAGGUAUUAGCAUAGGCUAAUGUGGUACACAGUAGGACACAAUAGUACACUAUGGACAGAGCUACUAGCAUGUAUUGUAUUAGCAGCUAGGCUAACAGUAUGGCUUACAAAGAGAAGCUUGUAGCAGCCAACAAAUGUAGUACACAUGACAGUAUAUACAGGUGGGCUAGCAUAGUAUACAAUUAGUGGCUAGCAUAUAUAAGAUAUACAAGAAAAGCUAGCAUGCUAGGUUAGCAGGCCACAGGCUGUGGGUAGUAGCACACAGUAUAUACAGUGUAGGCUAGCACACUAGGCUAGUAGGCUAUAGGUACAGCAUUAUGUACAGUAGGGAUGAGUUUGCAUUAGGGUUAGUAGUUAGCAUGCGAUUUGGCUAACAAUGGACAUCUUGGUAGAGGCUACGAUUCGUAUGAGGAAGCGACCGGAUGUUAUGACGUCACCGGUAGGCCAUUUUAGGUGAGUAACUAGAAGGACUAACUGGUAGCCAUCUUGGGUUCCAUAACAACAAUGAAGGGAUUACUCAUCAUGACCUGGAUACUGUACUGUAGCCAGAACUAUGCCAAGUGGGUAGAUAACUUGUUUUAUGUUACAUGGGAUUGCAGACAGAAGUAAUCCUGACAUAUAACUACUAAUGAAACGUGUAAGCAUAUAAUACCAUAAUAAUAUCAGCCUAUAACAUGUAAACAGAUGUUUUGUAGUGAUUCUUAUGUUGAAAAUGUAAAGAAUAUUUGCUCCUCUGGUGUGUAAUGAGGAGCAACCAGAUGCUGAAUUUGACAUAUUUAUUAAUUUGCUUGUUCCAGUUACUAAUAAGCAUGCACCCAUUAAGAAAAUGACUGUAAAAACUGUUCUCUGUGGCUUGAUGAGGAACUGAAAAAUAUUAUGGUUGAGAGGGAUGAGGAAAAAAGAAUGGCCAAUAAGUCCGGCUGCACAGCCUAUUCGCAAACAUACUGUACAUUAAGAAAUCAUGUGACUAAACUGAACAAAAUAAGAAGAAACUGUACUUUGAAACAAAGAUAAAUAAUAUAAAGAAUGAUAAUGAAAAGAUUUGGAGCACCUUAAAUGAAAUUUGGGGCAAAAAGGCAACCUUGGCUCCAUCAUUCAUUGAAUCAGACGGCUCAUUCAUCACAAAACCCACUGAUAUUGGCAACUACUUCAAUGAUUUGUUCAUUGACAAGGAUAGCAAACUUAGGCAUGACAGGCCAACAUCAAAUUCUGAACCUACACAUCCAUGCAUAACUGACUAAAUUAUGAAAGACAAGCAAUGUAAUUUUGAAUUCCGUAACUUGAAUGUGGAAGAGGUGAAAAAAUUGUUGUCUAUCAACAAUGACAAGCCACCUGCGUCUGACAACUUGGACGGAAAAUUACUUAGGGUGAUAGCGGACGAUAUUGCCACUCCUAUUUGCCAUCUCUUCAAUCUAAGCCUAAAGGAAAGUGUGUGCCCUGAGGCCUAGAUGGAAGCAAAAGUCAUUCCGCUACCUAAGAAUACUAAAGCACCCUUUACUGGUUCAAACAGCCAACCAAUCAGCCUGUUACCAACCCAAAGUAAACUUUUUGAAAAAAAUGGUGUUUGACCAGAUACAAUGCUAUUUCACAGUAAAAAUAAUAAUUAUUUGGUCUCUUCACAGUCCCCAAAUCCAGAACAAAUUAUGGGAGGUGCACAGUACUACAUAGAGCCAUGGCUACAUGGAACUCUAUUCCACAUGAAGUUACUCAUGCAAGCAGUAAAAUUAGAUUUUAAAAAACCAGAUAAAAUACACCUUAUAUGUGAAGACACACACAGGCACAGACAUAUAGAUACACUCACACAUGAUAACAUACGCACACUAUACACACAUGUACACGUGUGCAUUUUAUGUCGUAGAUAUAUGGUAGUAAAGUAGUGGACUGAGGGCACACACAUAAUGUGUUGUGAAAUGUAUUGUAAUGUUUUUAAAACUGUAUAACUGCCUUAAUUGUGCUGGACCCCAGGAAGAAUAGCUGCUGCCUUCGAAUUAAUUUGGGAAGGGUCCAUAAGUGUGUUGAGGUGGAGGACAGAUAGGUGGUUGGCCGAAGCCUUAAGGGAGGAACAUAUUUUUUUGUAUAUGACAGUAAAACAUUCUUGUGACACAAAUUUGUUGGCCCCUUCAAUUCUUACACAUUUUCUCAUAAAACAUAUAUGCCAACACUCAGCCGCUAAGAAAAUGUGCUUAACUACUAAACUUAAAACCAAUCAGAACUCCCGUACAUACCCCUCGUGAUGAAGGCUAUGCUUCUGUCUAUGAUGUAAACAGCCUCUUGUGAAAACGUGAGCUGCUGUCUGAUGAAGAGGAACAUACAUAGCUAGCGAGCUCCCAGACUGAAAAAAGAUAAAUAUCUGUUUUUGAGUGCACUUGAAAUAUGUAGCAUGCAAUAAGAAUUGUCUUGAUGAUAUGAAGACAAUUUAGCCAAUUUAUUGAAAGCUAGCCAAUGUCACAGACUAGCCUACUGUAAAUGUCAACUUGUUUUUCAUUAGCCAUCUCUCUGUCAGUUAAUUAAAUUGUUGAAUCAUGUUUUGGCAUGAUUAUACAGUAUGUCUCAUUUCAAGUAACUAGCUGCAGGCUUAAAGAAACAUAUACUUUGCAUAGAAACCCAAAUAAAAGCAUGUAGAUAGAAA